rnacentral:rRNA from 1 species
AUUGAACGCUGGCGGCAUGCCUUACACAUGCAAGUCGAACGGCAGCACGGGUGCUUGCACCUGGUGGCGAGUGGCGAACGGGUGAGUAAUACAUCGGAACAUGUCCUGUAGUGGGGGAUAGCCCGGCGAAAGCCGGAUUAAUACCGCAUACGAUCUACGGAUGAAAGCGGGGGCCCUUCGGGCCUCGCGCUAUAGGGUUGGCCGAUGGCUGAUUAGCUAGUUGGUGGGGUAAAGGCCUACCAAGGCGACGAUCAGUAGCUGGUCUGAGAGGACGACCAGCCACACUGGGACUGAGACACGGCCCAGACUCCUACGGGAGGCAGCAAUGGGGAAUUUUGGACAAUGGGCGAAAGCCUGAUCCAGCAAUGCCGCGUGUGUGAAGAAGGCCUUCGGGUUGUAAAGCACUUUUGGCCGGAAAGAAAUCCUUGGCCCUAAUACGGUCGGGGGAUGACGGUACCGGAAGAAUAAGCACCGGCUAACUACGUG